rnacentral:rRNA from 1 species
UACGUAGGGGGCUAGCGUUGUCCGGAAUCAUUGGGCGUAAAGCGCGUGUAGGCGGUUCGGUAAGUCCGCUGUGAAAGUCGAGGGCUCAACCCUCGAAUGCCGGUGGAUACUGUCGGACUAGAGUGCGGAAGAGGCGAGUGGAAUUCCUGGUGUAGCGGUGAAAUGCGCAGAUAUCAGGAGGAACACCAAUUGCGAUGGCAGCUCGCUGGGACGUUACUGACGCUGAGACGCGAAAGCGUGGGGAGCAAACAGG